rnacentral:rRNA from 1 species
CCCAGACUCCUACGGGAGGCAGCAGUGGGGAAUAUUGGGCAAUGGGCGCAAGCCUGACCCAGCAAUGCCGCGUGAAGGAAGAAGGCUUUCGGGUUGUAAACUUCUUUGACAGGGGAAGAGCAGAAGACGGUACCCUGAAAACAAGCCACGGCUAACUACGUGCCAGCAGCCGCGGUAAUACGUAGGUGGCAAGCGUUAUCCGGAUUUACUGGGUGUAAAGGGAGCGCAGGCGGCACGGCAAGCCUGAUGUGAAAGCCCGCGGCCCAACCGCGGGACUGCAUUGGGAACUACCGGGCUGGAGUGCCGGAGAGGUAGGCGGAAUUCCUAGUGUAGCGGUGAAAUGCGUAGAUAUUAGGAGGAACACCAGUGGCGAAGGCGGCCUACUGGACGGUGACUGACGCUGAGGCUCGAAAGCGUGGGGAGCAAACAGGAUUAGAUACCCUUGUAGU